rnacentral:tRNA from 1 species
GGGGCUGUGGCGAAAGUGGUAUACGCAGACGACUUGGGGUCGUCCGGUCUUUAGCCUUGCGGGUUCGAAUCCCGCCAGCCCCACCA